rnacentral:rRNA from 1 species
CAGGAGACUCUGAGCAGCGAUGCCGCGUGAGUGAAGAAGGCCUUUGGGUUGUAAAGCUCUUUCGUCGGGGAAGAAAAUGACUGUACCCGAAUAAGAAGGUCCGGCUAACUUCGUGCCAGCAGCCGCGGUAAUACGAAGGGACCUAGCGUAGUUCGGAAUUACUGGGCUUAAAGAGUUCGUAGGUGGUUAAAAAAGUUGAUGGUGAAAUCCCAGAGCUUAACUCUGGAACUGCCAUCAAAACUUUUUAGCUAGAGUAUGAUAGAGGAAAGCAGAAUUUCUAGUGUAGAGGUGAAAUUCGUAGAUAUUAAAAAGAAUACCAAUUGCGAAGGCAGCUUUCUGGAUCAUUACUGACACUGAGGAACGAAAGCAUGGGUAGCGAAGAGGAUUAGAUACCCUCGUAGUCCAUGCCGUAAACGAUGUGUGUUAGACGUUGGGAAUUUAUUUUCAGUGUCGCAGUGAAAACAAUAAACACACCGCCUGGGGAGUACGACCGCAAGGUUAAAACUCAAAUGAAUUGACGGGGACCCGCACAAGUAGUGGAGCAUGUGGUUUAAUUCGAAGAUACGCGCAGAACCUUACCAACACUUGACAUGUUCGUCGCGACUCUAAGAGAUUAGAGUUUUCGGUUCGGCCGGACGAAACACAGGUGCUGCAUGGCUGUCGUCAGCUCGUGUCGUGAGAUGUUGGGUUAAGUCCCGCAACGAGCGCAACCCUUACUUUUAGUUG